rnacentral:lncRNA from 1 species
GGGGUAAAACAGACAUCCGCACUAUCACUCUCAGUCUACCUAUAAAUUGAGAUGAAGCAUGCUAGGGUUUACUGAAAUUGCCUUUGAGAGAUCCGACCGCGCCUGUAUAUAGUAGCGGCUCGCGUUCCGUUGCGGGCAUACAAUAACGUUAUAGUCCUAUCUUCAUCUCUGCAUCUGUAUUUCUUUUCAAAUCUCUUGCAAAGACAGGCAGGCCUAACAUAUAUAUACAGUUAUAUUGAUUUAUAUAUAUACAGUUGUAUUGAUUUUGAGGGAGGGACAGGGCCGAUCCAAUGGGUUCUCGCUUGCAAAAUAAUGUUUUAAUGUGUGAGAGCUCAAUUUCACCCGGCCUAUAUUUUGGGGCAGCUUCCUUCUCCUCCUCUUCUUUUACAUGCUUUCUCUUUAGUGUCUAGAUUUGGAGAAUAUGCCCAACAUUCAUUUUUUUUUCUUUAAUAUUUUACGUGUAUACACUUGAAUGUCGUUGUAGUUGUAAAUAUUAUAUCUUUCUUCUCUUUGGAUAAUCACGAAAUUUUACGAAAAUAAAAUAAAAUAUUUUGUCUUAAUUUAAUAUUAUUUUUUAAUCUAUAAAUAUUUUUUAAAUAAUUAUUUUUUUGUAAUUUUUAAUAAAAGAUUAUUUUUAAGGAAUUAUAUAAUGUGAUGAAGAAUGUGAGAUUAAUAAUUUUUUUUGUUUUUUUUAUGGGAUUAUUAAUAUUAAAUGGUUUUCUGGUAGUAAUAGUUUUAUAGUAUUAGACUAAUAAAUAAUAAUAGUCCCACAUUUGUCAAAGAAUUAUAUAGUUUGAAAUAAUGACAAAAUUAAAUUUUAAAUACAUUUUUUUGGCAAUCAAACAUGACUUAAAUGAUUUAAUUCUGAUUCUUUUUUAGUUUUAGAUUUGAAUUGGAAGUGAAAAUAUGAAAAUGAAAAUCAAGUUCUAAGUGGCCUCGAGAUCGUGCUAAUUUUUAGUCGCGUGAUAAUUUUGAACAUUCAUUUUUUAUCCAACCGACAACAGAGGGGACAAAAUUGAAAGGAGCAAUCAAGGAUCUUGAUUCAGAAUGAAAGUAAGGGAAGGGAUGUCAAGGAUAUACUUGCCGGGCACCUUCCUAGUGCGAAUCAUGGUUACAUGCAGUCAAGACCUUAAAUUAUAAGGUUGAGUUGAUGCUAAGCAACAAAAUGUAUUUAUAGCUUUUAAAUAUGGAAUUGGAAUGAAUGUUAAAGUGGAAAUUAUAAAUGCAUUUCCAUUUUUACCAUCCCCUUUUGUAUUUUGAUUACUCUUACAAUUUUGAGAUAGCCAAGUCCAUCAAUGUCAGGCCUUUUGUUGCCAGAAGCUUGUAGAACCUCUUCUCUUGCACGAGUUUGCCAUUCUGGAUGUGUGCUUAACAAAACUAAGGUCCAAAUUUGAGGUUGUCUCUGACCCAGCAAAAUAAAAGAGCUUGCAUUCCUUCAUCACCUCUUCCAUGUACUCUAAUUUCUUUCGAAUUGGAUUCUAACGAAAUACCCAACAAAUCAUCAUUCUUGACUUCUCCCAUUUCCAUUGCAAUCUGGCGUUUACUGACGAUACCCCUUGGUAGAAUUUGUAAUUCCUUGCAGAUUUCUUUCAUUCUCUUGCUAGCUUUAGUUGGAACAUAUCUACACUUCGAAGAAGUUGAUAAUAUUACCAUGGAGCAUGGCCGCGUGGGCCAAAUUUUUUAGUUAAAAUUCAUAAGAUAUUUUAUAUCUUACCUCCACCCGGGGAACCUGUUCCUUCUGGAGGAGAAAGAUUCUUCUUCCUUCUCAUAACUACUGCCAAAUGCUGUCCGAGAAAUCACAUCACCCUUGGCCAUACAUCAACUUCAGCCGAACCUGUUUCCGAGACUAAAACUUCCCAUUUCUUGAUCAUCUCAGCACAGCUCAUAUGAAUUGAUGCAUGUAACAGUUUCUAUCAAAUAUAUAACAGGAAAAAUCAUGAAUCUCCAUUAAAGCACAGUUUUGAUUGUCUUGAUAGCUUUCUUUUUUACUUGUCUCAUGAAAUUUGUCGUGUUUGGCUAUAUAUAUUGAGUACUACUCUAGUGAAAGUUGCCUUCAACUUCUCUAGGUGGCUGAUUAUCUUUCUGUGUUUAGCCCCAUUUCUGAUCCUCAUAGGUCAGGAGCCCACCCAAAUUCAUAUCACAUAAUUCAGGAUUUGCAGGCUGGGUCUUGGCCCAAACCAGACAAAUGAUUUCUUACCUGCAAAUCAAGGUAAUAUUAAUUUCCACAAACUCAAACGACAGAAAGAUUAGUGAUGAUCUUGAAACUAAUGUUAUUCCAAGUUUGAGAUGAUUGUAUUGGGUGGGUAUUAAAGAAUAAUGUCAUGUUAUAAUACUAUACUGGAGUCUGGAGUGUUACUUAAAAAAGAAGAUAGAUAUAUACCAUAUUUGCUGAUGAUUUGGUGGAUGUAGGGUUAAGCAAUGGUGGGAGACAUUGUCGGAGAGUUUGAUCAUUUUGGAUUUUGUAUCCCUGGACAUGGCCGCAAACUCCAGCACCUCGUAAAAGCCUGAACGGAUUUCUAUCAAAACCUUGCUGUCUCAGGUAUUUCUCCAGCUUAUUGGGCCUCAACCACACCCAAUUCACUGUUUGCACUGCUAUAUUUACUACACUAGUAAUUGCAACUAUUGAGAUUGCUAUCCAGCUUGCUUUUGCUUCCAUUUUUUCAGUACUGCAGUUGUAGAAGGCCCCACCCAAUAACUCCCUUGGAAAUAUUUAGGCACAGUACAAGGUCCCACAUUUACUUAUAGACUUGCAGCUCUUAUGUUUGAUUGAGAAGGAUCUAGUUAAUAGUAAGUUGGUCAAUUUAUCAAUACACUGUUGAGAUCAUCUCCUGACAUGCGUGUUGACAUUGUAUUUUUCAAUUGAUCAAAGUUAACUUCAUGUUAACCACUCCCAAUUGAGAAAAGAAGGGACAAGAUUGGAAUAUUUUAUUUUACCUUAUUCAUAUCUCGUAGAUGUUACCAAGUCUAGCAUUUGGGAUGAAACAUUAAAAACUAUGGAAUAAUACUACUUUUUAGAUAUAAUUCACAUACUCGUCAUUUUAUAAAUUAAAAUUAUAAAAAUUUAUGUCAAUUUUAAAAUUAAAAAUAUAUUAAUUUAAUUUUAAAAAAAUCAAUAACGAUGUUGUAUAUUAAGUUUUUAACACCAUUACUUAUAUAUUUUGAAUGAAUUAAGUACCACCAUACCAUUAUUAUAUUUCUAGCAAUUAAUACAUGAAUGUUUAUAUUUGUAUAGAUAUAGAAACUUAGUAUAAUUAAAAAUAAGUUUCCAACAAUGCAUUUAUGCAUAGAAAGGUUAGUAUUUGAUGAUAUUAAUUUUGGAUUUGGGCGAGAAAUAUCCUAAAUUUCCAUGUGCAGGAGGACUUUGUGAAAUACACCAAUAAUGGAUUUAGUCAUCUCAAUUCACCCAAAUAUUAGAUUGAGAAUAACCAUUUAGAGUAUUGCCACUUUGUCAUCACUUUAACAUAUACUCCCUCCGUCCCUAUUUAAAUGAUGUUUUAGAGUUUUUUAUUUGUCCCUCUCAUUACUCUACCUAUUUUUUUGGUACUUUAAAUUCUUGUGCUAUGAUAAAUUAAUGAUUUAAGGGUAUUAUAGACAAUUGAGUACUAUAUUUAAUGCUUUUCGAUCAUUAUUUUAAUUCUUGUGCACAUCUCUAAAACGUCAUUUAAAUAGGGACGGAGGGAGUAUUAAAUUCAUCCUUGUCUAGAACUCCACGGCCCACGCCAAGGUUUUGUCCCGUUGUCUUCUAUUUUUUGUUUGUUGUACUUUCUUAACAAUCAAAUUAGACGUACUCCGGUAGCAUCAUCUAUCCAAAUUAGACAUCAAGAAUUACUAUAUAUAUCUAUGGAAAUUAAUAUUUUUAAAUGUUAAAAUGAUAUUUUCUCACAUUCAGGUAAGACUCAUUCACUAUUCAUGUGAGAAUAAUUAUGUGAAAAUAUCAGUUCGUGUAUCUAGAUACACUGGUCAAGCAGUGGUUGGAGUUUGGAUUAGUACUACUAUCUGUUUGGAAAUUAUAAAUUAUGCUAGACAUAUUUUGGAAAAAGAGUAUGAUUGCACCUGAAUAUUGUUUUUGCCUAGGUAUCCUCAAGCCUGUACUAGUUAAUUUGAACAUUGAUUUAUAUACAAUUAUUAGGAUAGCAUAGUUGACUUGAUCACUUCGUUUAUACUAGAGAAUGUGAUUUGAAUACAUCAAACCUUCCCCUUUCAUAAGAUAGAAUAUACAAGAAAAGUUUAAACCAAAACACAGAAGCAGUUAUUAGGAUAUCAGAGCUCAAACACUUGCGAUUGCUAAGAGUUUCAUAUAUAUAUAUAUACUAAUUUUUAUAAUAGCACGCCACCACAUUUAGUUUGAGAACCAAAAACUGGGAAGACCAUAUGCAUAUAACAUGGAGAAAACUCCAAAGAGAUACAUUGUAGUUAAUAUUGUCAUUUUCUCUCAGUCCUAACGAAUUUUGGUCCAAUUAACACAUAUACUAGAGCCUGUGCAGAAUUAUUGGAGCUCCAUGUUGAGGUUGAAGAGUAAUAAUAGGGAAAGGAGCAUGUGCAUAAGAAGGAGAAAGUUCAAAUGAGAAGUGUUGUAGGAUCAUUGCUAGCGCCAUUUUUGCUUCAAGCAUUGCAAAGUUUUGGCCAAUGCAUAUUCGGGGACCCCCUCCGAAUGGGAUGUAGGAGAAUUUGCCCUUUGUCGCACUUAGAACUCCUUCAGAAAAUCUCUCUGGCUUGAAUUCAUGUGCAUCCAUGCCCCAUAUUUCGUGGUCAUAAUGAAGUAGGAUUACUGGCAAGAUAAAUCCCACCCCUGCUGGAAGAUUAGUAUCUCCUAGUUUUGUGUCCUUUGGAAUAGCUCUAAGAAGCAUAGCUGCAGGUGGAUAUAACCGUAAGACCUCCUGUAGAAUCAUUGUUACCUGCAUUCAAGUAGUUAAAGUAUUAGGUCGACUUAAAUAUUGAAUUCAUCAUUUAUGAAUUGAAUUUUGUCGUCUUGUUUCUUAGUACUAUUUUGAGAUGGUUUAGUCCGUCGUAGUCGGGCUUUUUGCUCCCAAAAGCUUGUAGAACUUCUUCUCUUGCACGAAUUUGCCAUUCUGGAUGUACACUCAACAAAACCAUGGUCCACACGAGCAAAUUUGAGGUUGUCUCAGAGCCAGCAAAAUAGAAUAGUUUGCACUCGUCUAUCACCUCUUCAAUACUCAUUCCAAUCCCCUGUUCUUUGAUCUCUUUGGAAUUGGAUUCCGUCAAUAUACCUAAUAAGUCACCAUCAUUCACUUCUCCAUUUUGCAUUGCCUUCUCUCUUUUACUUAUGAUACACCUUAGUAGAACUUGUAGUUCGGUGCAUACUUUAUUCAUUCUCUUGUUUUCUUUGGUUGGAAUAUACCUAAGUUUUAAUUUGUUUACGGAAGAUGAAGUAAGUAAGGAAAACUAUGAAGAAAUCUAAAAUAUUUUAUCAUGUUGCUAGGUAUUUAAACGGUUACCUCCAACAGGG